GCGGCAACAGCUCAAAAUUUGAAAUCUGGCGCAAGCCCGAGUUGUAAUUUGUAGAGGAUGCUUCUAGGCAGCGGCCGUUCUAAGUUCCUUGGAACAGGACGUCAUAGAGGGGUGAGAAUCCCGUAUGUGACCGGCGCGCACCUUUUACGUAGCUCCUUCGACGAGUCGAGUUGUUUGGGAAUGCAGCUCUAAAUGGGAGGUAAAUUUCUUCUAAAGCUAAAUACCGGCUGGAGACCGAUAGCGCACAAGUAGAGUGAUCGAAAGAUGAAAAGCACUUUGGAAAGAGAGUUAAAAAGCACGUGAAAUUGUUGAAAGGGAAGCGCCUGCAACCAGACUUCGCGGCAGUGUUCCGCCGGUCUUCUGACCGGUCUAUUCUCUGUCGCGAGGCCAUCAUCGUCUGGGGCCGCCGGAUAAGACUGGAGGAAUGUAGCUCCCCUCGGGGAGUGUUAUAGCUUUCAGUGAUGCGGCGUGUCUCGGGCGAGGUCCGCGCUUCGGCAAGGAUGAUGGCGUAAUGGUUGUCGGCGGCCCGUCUUGAAACACGGACCAAGGAGUCUAACAUCUAUGCGAGUGUUCGGGUGUCAAACCCCUACGCGUAAUGAAAGUGAACGGAGGUGGGAACUUUUUGUGCACCAUCGACCGAUCCUGAUGUCCUCGGAUGGAUUUGAGUAAGAGCAUAGCUGUUGGGACCCGAAAGAUGGUGAAACUAUGCCUGAAUAGGGUGAAGCCAGAGGAAACUCUGGUGG
rnacentral:rRNA from 1 species